AUACGUAGGGGGCGAGCGUUGUCCGGAAUGAUUGGGCGUAAAGGGCGCGUAGGCGGCCCGGUAAGUCUGGAGUGAAAGUCCUGUUUUUAAGAUGGGAAUUGCUUUGGAUACUGUCGGGCUUGAGUGCAGGAGAGGUAAGUGGAAUUCCCAGUGUAGCGGUGAAAUGCGUAGAGAUUGGGGGGAACACCAGUGGCGAAGGCGACUUACUGGACUGUAACUGACGCUGAGGCGCGAAAGUGUGGGGAGCAAACAGGAUUAGAUACCCUGGUAGUCCACACUGUAAACGAUGAAUGCUAGGUGUAAGAGGUAUCGACCCCUUUUGUGCCGGAGUCAACACAAUAAGCAUUCCGCCUGGGGAGUACGGCCGCAAGGUUGAAACUCAAAGGAAUUGACGGGG
rnacentral:rRNA from 1 species